rnacentral:lncRNA from 1 species
UUCUGUAGCUGCAAAAAUACCUCUAGGUGUUCCGGACACUAUGUGCCUAUAGCUGGCUACAGGAUCACAGCAGCCAAAAGCCCUCCAGGAAGAAGUAUGGAAGCAGCUUUAUUGAGGUUGCCAGCAAGGAUUACGGCUUCUUUGACGCAUGAACGUUUUGGAAUUUAUGAGGAUUUUAAUGAGGAUUUUCUGAAAAAAAUAAAAAUUGUUAUGUUCUGGGCAUUCAUCUAUCCUCUCAUCAGCUUUUGAUCUACCACAUCUUGGGGUCGAACUUGAAGCUGCAGCAGAAGAAGAUAUGGAAAAACUAAAAUCUUCCUCAAGCAAAUAUUAGAGUAAUUGUCAUUAUCUCACCAUGCUCUUUUCCUGGUUAUAAAUAUGCUAGAAAACAUUCUUACUGUAAUUUUAAUAAAGUAUUUCUCUAUGUUUU